UACGUAGGGGGCAAGCGUUGUCCGGAAUCAUUGGGCGUAAAGAGCGUGUAGGCGGCCCGAUAAGUCCGCCGUGAAAGUCCAGGGCUCAACCCUGGAAUGCCGGUGGAAACUGUCGGGCUGGAGUCCGGAAGAGGCGAGUGGAAUUCCUGGUGUAGCGGUGAAAUGCGCAGAUAUCAGGAGGAACACCGGUGGCGAAGGCGGGAUCCUGGGCCAGUACUGACGCUGAGGAGCGAAAGCGUGGGGAGCAAACAGG
rnacentral:rRNA from 1 species